UAAGCAGAGUGUGAAAUAAUGUGGCUCAACCACAUGUCCAUGCUUUGAACUGCUUUGACUAGAGAAUGGAAGAGGUUACUAGAAUUUCUAGUGUAGGGGUAAAAUCCGUAGAUAUUAGGAGGAAUACCGAUGGCGUAGGCAGGUAACUGGUCCAUUUCUGACGCUCAGGCACGAAAGCGUGGGGAGCGAUCGGGAUUAGAUACCCCGGUAGUCCACGCCGUAAACGAUGGAUGCUA
rnacentral:rRNA from 1 species